GAAGAUACUGUCACAUGGAAGUGGUUUUUGAACACAUUGAAGGAGGAUCUGAACAUACAAAACACAGCACCAUGGACAUUGAUGAGUGAUAGGCAGAAGGGCUUGAUCAAUGCUGUCAAUGCAAUGUUUCCUGAUGCACAACAUAGAUUUUGUGUGAGGCAUCUGCAUCAAAACUUUGCAAAAAACUGGAAAGGUGAUGUAUUCAAGAAUAAAUUGUGGCAAAUUGCAAGAGCUACACAUGAGGCAGACUGGAAGAAGUACAUGCAAGAGAUGAAAGAGUUGGACCAGGGGGCCUAUGAGUAG
rnacentral:rRNA from 1 species